rnacentral:rRNA from 1 species
CCUACGGGAGACAGCAGUGGGGAAUAUUGGGCAAUGGGCGCAAGCCUGACCCAGCGACGCCGCGUGAGGGAAGAAGGCUUUCGGGUUGUAAACUUCUUUUAGCAGGGAAGAAGCAAGUGCCGGUACCUGAUCAAUAAGCCACGGCUAACUACGGGCCAGCAGCCGCGGUAAUACGUAGGGGGCAAGCGUUAUCCGGAUUUACUGGGUGUAAAGGGCGGGUAGGCGGGAAAGCAAGUCAGAUGUGAAAACCACGGGCUCAACCUGUGGCCUGCCUUUGAAACUGUUUUUCUUGAGUGCUGGAGAGGCAGACGGAAUUCCUGGUGUAGCGGUGAAAUGCGUAGAUAUUAGGAGGAACAUCAGUGGCGAAGGCGGUUUGCUGGACAGCAACUGACGCUGAGGCGCGAAAGCGUGGGGAGCAAACAGGAUUAGAUACCCGGGUAGUC